rnacentral:rRNA from 1 species
GACGAACGCUGGCGGCGUGCCUAAUACAUGCAAGUAGAACGCUGAAGCUUGGUGCUUGCACCGAGCGGAUGAGUUGCGAACGGGUGAGUAACGCGUAGGUAACCUGCCUGGUAGCGGGGGAUAACUAUUGGAAACGAUAGCUAAUACCGCAUAACAGUAGAUAUCGCAUGAUAGCUACUUGAAAGGUGCAAAUGCACCACUACCAGAUGGACCUGCGUUGUAUUAGCUAGUUGGUGAGGUAACGGCUCACCAAGGCAACGAUACAUAGCCGACCUGAGAGGGUGAUCGGCCACCCUGGGACUGGGACACGGCCCAGACUCCUACGGGAGGCAGCAGUAGGGAAUCUUCGGCAAUGGACGGAAGUCUGACCGAGCAACGCCGCGUGAGUGAAGAAGGUUUUCGGAUCGUAAAGCUCUGUUGUAAGGGAAGAACGAGUGUGAGAGUGGAAAGUUCACACUGUGACGGUAUCUUACCAGAAAGGGACGGCUAACUACGUG